AAACCAUGUUGUGGGCAUGAACUGAUAAAUCCUUGAACUGCUCUCAACACUGGAAGAAUGUUUCAUCCUCCUUUUGGGCAAAGUUCAUGAUUGACUUUCUGAGGGU